GUAACAAAAAAUUCAGACAGCUAUAGAUGGAAUCUUAAGGAAAUGGGCCAAGGAAGAACUCAUCAAAGGUAUUUUCCACCCCUAGGAAAAGAAGAAAUAAAAACAUUUUCCAAACGCGUAUCCCGAAUGUGACCCAUUACAGGGGAGUUGGUCAGUCUGGUAAGUAUUUUACUGCAUGUUUUGGCUUUUAAACUAGCUAUAGCUGUGAUCUUCAUGCAAAUUCUGCAAAAUGGUCCCUGUCCAUAAAUGUGUAAACACCUUAUUGAAGUUACCCGAAUGCUUUAAAAACUGACAAACAAGGUGAUUAAUUUUCAGCUGCUACCCAUGCAAAGUAAUGUGAUGCUUAAAACCAAAUUUGUUAGGAUCUACAAACAAUGCAUAAUGUAUUUUUUCAAUUGUCAGCAUGUGCUUGUAUUUUGGACUGAUAGCCAAAGCUAGAUUUAACUUAAAACAUAUAAUAUUUAAUGAUGUUCUUUACCUCAUGGACAAUCCAGAUUCUAAAAUAUCUGAUGUUUUCUUUUUGUUAAAUAUUCUAUGUAAAUAAUUUAUUCAUUCAUGUAACUGAAAAAACAGUUCUCUGUUUAUCAUUUUCUUGAAUUACUUUUCCCUAUAUUUUAGUCACUCAAGCACAUCUCAGAUAUGAAUAAGAAAACUGCUUGUGCCAAAAUGUUUCUGCCACUUAUUGUUUUGCUCUUGAUCAUUUUUUCUUUUUCUUUUUUUCUUUUCAAAGGUAAAAGGAUUUGCUUCACAUUUUCUGUAAUGGAGACUGUUAUCAAAGUCAGUUUGUUUCCUUGACUUCUCUUGUGUAUGACAUUUGUUUUCAAUAAAGUUAGGAGCAAAAAAAAACAAAGGCUAAUUUGGCAGUAAGUGUUUGCAGGUGAAGGCUGCUGGCAGUGCAUGCUGUGAUAUGCAGAACAGGUUGGAGAGGUUUAACUCUGAUAUUGAGGUCAAAUAAUUUUCCUUUUUGUGGCCAGUGUGAAAGCUAUACUACUUUCCGUUUUUUGAGGGGAUGUUACAUUUUAGGCAUAUUUGAGCUUUUUAUGACUAUUUAGCCUACUGUUAAGGUACUGUUUAGUUUUCUAUGCAUUUUUGUUGUAUUGCUUAAACUAUCCCUGGAAAAGAAACUAUUGAAGAUAUAGGGUACUUCAAAUGUUUCUCUGUAAAUAUUGUGGAUUCCGUGCACACAAAUUUAUAUUGUUCAGUUCACAUGUUAGAAGCCAUAAACACAAUGCAAACUAUAUGUUUUCUUGUGGACUUGAGAAUUGUAAAGCCACUUUUAAAACAUUCACUGCCUUUCAUUCCCAUAUGCACAGAAAUCAUAGACGAGGGGAGAACACUGAGGAGGAGAUCUGGAAGUUCACUGGAAAUCUUAGCUGACAAGUUCCUGGAUGUGGUGAUGGAAAUUGAAGAUGAAAUCACAUGCAUCCUGCCAGAAUUGGAGAGACAGAAAGUACUGUCCUUUGCAGACCACCUGAAAGAUGUCAUUGGUGUCCAACAAAAAAGUGACCUUCUGUUAGUAGAGGCAGAUGAUCUCAAACAUUUUCUUACACCAAUUCAAAUACGUAAACUACUACUUACAUUUAAGAAAGGUUUGUAUACAUUUUGUAUACAUCUGACUAUUUAUCAGCUGUAGGUCACACAGGUCACUGAUUCGUUUCUUUUUUACAUUAUGACCAUCAGUUGCCAAUUUCUUCUCACUAUACCAUUCUGGAUGUUAAACUACAAAGCAUUUUAUUGAAGAGACUUUUACCGGAUAUUGGUAUGUUUUUCUGUUUUAAUGGAAGAAAUCAAAUAAAAAAAGAUAAUCCAGUGCAUUUUGUUUACAUCUUGAUCUUAAAUAUAUCCAACUAUUGCACAAACAAGUGUGCAGGUGUGUGUGUGUGCACGCACAAGUAUAAACCUUUUAUUUUGGGAGCCUUUAUUUUAUUACAGUAUGUUACCGUUUACUCGUAUCUUAGUAAAAUAUGACACGAAAAAGGUAAAUUACUGCCCACAAAAACACAGUAACCUCUGACAGCGUUGACUAUUUUCAGUAGCAAAAGUGUAUGUUUACGGUAAAUCACUGGAAAAGGUAUUGCAGCAUACCUUGAAAUGAGUUUACGGUAACAUACCAUAAACA